ACAGUAAAUUAACUCUCACGUUAAAUUAAAACCCUAACUCAAUUAGCAUAUAAAUUAGUCUUAUCAUCACCUUUUGCGUCUCUAAAACUCUCAAAUCCUUAAAACUGUAAGCCUAAUGGAGGAAGAAGAAUAAUUGGGGUAAAGAAUGAAAAAUCGAGAAGAAGAAAAAUUAAAUCUUUGUCCACUGAGAUCGGGAUUUGUUUAUGGUGGUUCAAAAAUGUUGAUAGUUUCAACCUUUGCCCACAUGAAAUCGCAACAAUCGAGGCUGCUAAAAUCCCAAUUCCCACAUCGAAAACCCAUUUUUUCAUCCCAAUCGUGAAACUGGAAACCCAAGAAAGCUUCGUAGCGGCAUUUAUGUUAGCUUUCGAUGAAAAAAGCUUGCUUUACCUUAAGCAAAUUCUCACUGCAAUCAUCGAAAAGCAACGAAGAGGGUUCAGCCCGUUCAUAGACCUUUGCCCGUUCAUAGACCUUUGCCCGUUAAGGAGACAAACCGAAGACCCGAGGAAUCGUAGCAUCACUGUCGUAGUUUUGUAUGCAGCCAGGGAAUUCCGGCAACACCUUCAUCACCGACAACCACCACGACCCUCUUCCGUCGUUCGAUUUCUGUAACUUUUUGGGUCCUAUAGAGGGUGCAUUUCAUCCAUGGGAGCUCGCAUUUACUCUCUUCAACAAAAUUUUGAGCACGGCAGCUUUGGGUUACAUAUCAAGAUGAUUAGAGAUAUGGUUGGAAUAUGAUUCUCGACAACAUUUCCUAUGCUUUGCUCUUUACAGAGAAUCUCCCAGUAUGCUAAACAGUGACAAUUUACCAAAUAUUGUAAACAAGCUUCAACUCAAAAAUGGAUUUUAUCCCUAAAAGAGUUUGGAAUUGAUGAAAUCCAUGUUAAAAGACACUCCAUUCUCUAUCCAAUAUCAAGAAGACUUAGACGAGUACAACAGGGUGUGAACCAAGGGUUGAAAAACAGGGCCCCUGUUCUUGGAACUUCAUCACUGAACCUUGCAAAUAACGUUUCUAUGAAUGAGGGAAAGGAUUUUGGGCUGAAAUUAAUACCUCUCAAUGUCCCAAAUCAGAAUAUUUCACCUAUCAUGCUCCCUUUCAGACUCAAAAUCCCACAUCACACCACCAUUGGCCUCUACGACUUUGAUCCUUGAAAACAGAAAGGAUUUCGAUUCCAUUUGCCUUUGUCACUAGCAAAAUUAUUAGAGAACCAUCUUUGACUGCAAACCUAAAUGUAGUUGGAGGAGGUUAAGAGUUCGUACAAUGUAGAACCAUCUUUGACCAAGGAGUCUUCUGAUGGUGAGACUAAAAAAGAUAGGCUUUGAAGGUGACAAAGAGUUUAUUACAUUGUUAAGCAAACAAUAAUUCAUUAAUGAUAUAUGAAUUUACAUUUGGGAAGCAUUGUUCCUUAAUAGUUGCAUGAUUGUAUCUUUAUCAGGCAGCAAGACCCAUUUUCUUCUUUUUUUUUUUGGAAAAAAAAAAAGAAAUUUGAAGCUGGGCUCCUCGCCUUACCUACAUUAUUCGAUGAGAAUAUGCAGUGUUUAAAUGUAGUUCAUUUGAAAAUAAAUACAUAGAUUAUCAUUAGUCUUUCCUUCUAAAUCUUCUCAUGGUUUAUAAUAGAUGCUUAAUGACUUAUUUUGAUAUAAUUUUCCUAAUAAUUCAUUUGAUAAAAUAUAGUAAAUAAAUAGGAAGAGGAAAGAUUCCAGAGACUGUCCAUCAAAGUUUUGCUUUUAUUUUCAAGCAGCGGAGAGAGGAGCUGGAGAGUGACAAUGAUGGAUUGACGCUCAGAAGACGAUUUGAAUUAGAUGCUACAUUAAACAUUAUUAAAGAAGUAGAAGCUCCGAAUGUCAAUGAAUUUGGCUAUGAGGAAACAUAUUCUGGUUUGACAUCUCAAUUAUGUGAUUUGGAAUCUGGUGAAGACUAUUUGCUCCGAGUGAAGAGUUAUAUAGAAGCUUCAACCCGAAGACACAAAGAACAUAUACAAGUUGAGCUUAGCAAAACUGAUGCAAAGUUAAUGCGAAACAUUAAUAUCAUGGAGCAGUUAAAACUUAAGCUUUGCUCUUUGCUGUCCAUGAUUAUCACUCAAUAUUAUUGCCUCUUGUGAAGUCGUACCUGAGGGUUUGUAUUCAUUAAAAAUUUAUAGGUUGAAACUUUAACUAUAUUGAAACUUUAACUAAUAAUUCUCUUCCCCUGUUUUAAGAUCACAUUUUUUUCAUUUAUUUUCGUAAUAUAAUAUUUCCUCUAAAUUUUUCAAAACAAA